rnacentral:rRNA from 1 species
GACGAACGCUGGCGGCGUGCUUAACACAUGCAAGUCGAACGGUGAAGCGCCUUCCUUUUUGGCGGCUGUGGACGAGUGGCGAACGGGUGAGUAACACGUGAGUAACCUGCCCCCUUCUUCUGGAUAACCGCAUGAAAGUGUGGCCAAUACGGGAGAUUCUGGGUCUGUCGCAUGGUGGGUCUGGGAAAGAUUUUGUUUCGGUGUGGGAUGGGCGCGCGGCCUUUCAGCUUGUUGGGGGGGUGGUGGCCUACCAAGGCGGUGCCGGGUAGCCGGCCUGCGAGGGUCGGCGGCCACACUGGGGCGACGACGCCGCGCAGACUCCGAGAGGAGGCAGCAGGGAAUAGUAUAGCACGGGGGGAGCAAGGCUGAAGCAGCGACGCGGCGUGGGGGAUGGCGGCCGUCGGGUUGUGAGCCUCUUUCGGGGGUGAAGCAGGCUUGCCUCGUAUGUGGGUGGGUUGACGGUAGCUGGAGAAGAAGCACCGGCUAACUACGUG